rnacentral:rRNA from 1 species
AUGCGGUUGAAGAGGGCAAUGGCAAGGCCGGGGCCAUCGCUGCAGGCAGAUGAGGGCGGAGCACGGGCUAGUGCGGCAAGAAAGUUGUUCAGCCCGCGUUCCGGGACGGCGGCGGCUUGGCCUAGCAAUUCGUCGAACAGGUGGUGCGCGUCCUGCCGACUUAGCGUUCCCUCGCGGACGCGCUCCGUGGCGGCAGCCAAGGCGGCGAGGGGGGCUCGGCGCUCUCGUGAAGGAGCCUUGAAGGAGGAGGUGAAGAUGGAGGACAGGCGGGCGGUUGGCAUUGCUGGCCGUCUCCAGCGGAGGUCGGCGCGCCAGUGCACGGAUCUCGCCCUCUGGAGAGGCUGA